rnacentral:lncRNA from 1 species
UUUUAAAGGAUCACUUCUGGAAUACUCUAUCUACGUUACAGGUAUAUAAAAUGGGUAAAAUAUAUAAUAAUAGACAUCAAACCAACAACCCAAUUCAAUCCUAUAAGGGGUAGGUUUAAAAAAGCUAAAGUUGGCCACAAGAUUUUAAUCUUUUUUGAUUCAGGCCCAAAAACUACAAAUUUGACAUAUACAUUGUUGUGGUAUCAUUAUUGAUACAAAAUAACCACAUCAUCUUUUUGGCACCUCACAAUAUAAACUACUAAGUUAUGACCUGUUGAUUAUGCAAUUCUGCUGUUUUCGCAAAAGCGCCAAUGAAGGCCCAAUUUUUCACAAUUCAGAACUUUUUUUAGCAUAAUUCACUUUCCCUGAUCCAGAAAUAGUUUAUGUCUUGUAAUUUAAAUAUUACCCUUAGCACCUUUAGUUUAUUAAACAUUUUGGACCAAAGGUAUUCUUAAAGCUUUUAGGUCAGAAAAUCCAUAAAAUCAUCGCAUUUUGAUGAUAUCUCCCAAUAUAGUUAAUUAUAGAGUCUACAAUGUAUUAUAAAGAAGCGAUUUAUUUUAUGUUGCAUUAAGUCUUUUGAAAGAUAUCCAUUGAAGAACCAGAUGGGGCAUUUUUUGAUAUUCUAUGAUAAAGGCUGAAAUUUAAAAUCUAUACUAAGGCCAUAUUUUGCCAAGUGAACAUUGUCAUAUAUGGUACUGAUAAAAUAAAGAGUAUACUGUUGACCAAACUCUUAUAAACCUUUAACCCUAAAGUCAGUAUUUAUUUCCAAAUAAUAUUAUUUAUAGAAUUAUUUUCUUUUAAACAGG